rnacentral:rRNA from 1 species
UCGGGAAUUUUGGGCAAUGGGCGAGAGCCUGACCCAGCAACGCCGCGUGAGGGAUGAAGUAUUUCGGUAUGUAAACCUCGAGAGAAUGGGAAGAAUAAAUGACGGUACCAUUUAUAAGCUCCGGCUAACUACGUGCCAGCAGCCGCGGUAAUACGUGGGGAGCAAGCGUUGUUCGGAUUUACUGGGCGUAAAGGGCGCGUAGGCGGCGCGGUAAGUCACUUGUGAAAUCUCUGAGCUUAACUCAGAACGGCCAAGUGAUACUGCUGUGCUAGAGUGCGGAAGAGGCAACCGGAAUUCUUGGUGUAGCGGUGAAAUGCGUAGAUAUCAAGAGGAACACCUGAGGCGAAGGCGGGUUGCUGGGCCGACACUGACGCUGAUGCGCGAAAGCCAGGGGAGCAAACG